UUUCUCUCAGCUGUAAUUACAGCUCACUGUCACACUAGCUGAACUAGCUCAUCUUGCUGGAGGAGAAAUAUUAGAUGAACCUAUACAGUACCUUGUGCUUUUAUGCUCCACUUUUAUCCUCAUCCCUGAAGUUGUCUGACCUGUGGAAGUGCUGCUGAAACACUGCCGUAUUUCUUAAUGCAAGAUGGAAGCCAGAAAGGGUUACGAAUGUCUACAGAAAUCAGCUUUUGCAUCUCAACAUGGCACAAAAGCACCUGUUCUUUGCUGUUCAAGACACAGUUAAUAAACAUUAUUAUUAGGAUCAAGAACUGUUGUCAAAACAGCGUAAUGCGAUUCAGAUAUUUGGUGAACUUUGUCACAUCCAUUCCAACUAAGAGGAUUCCAGAUACUCCAGUGCAACGUCAUAGCAGAAGCGAUACUGCUCCUUUAAGGGAGAAAGGGAAAAAAGUAAUAAAGUUAAAUUGACGUUCUAAAUCAUUAAACAGCAGCAAUGACUACAAACAAGAAUAGCCUUUUCUGACUACUAAACAAUUUUAAAUUCAAGACUGACACACUUGGGUUGGUUUUCUUUUUUUUUUUUCCUCUUUUCACUUUUCUUCUUUCACCCCUCUAUUACACAAGUGUAUUAUCAGCUCUGACUUAUAAACAAACCAUAACCAACAAAAUAUAAAAAAUAAACCUGACCAUGAAAUGCA